GAAGAAGGUAGAACUGUGGAUGUUGGUGAGCAGGACAAGAUUAUCAUGAACUAUGCUUCUUAAACGGGUAGAAGCAGAGUUUGCUUGCAUCUCCCCUGUUCAGCUGAGACCGAAGUUCAUGCACCUAGGUCACCGCUCUCCUGAUGAUGACAGGAGUUUUCUGAAGGGAAGGUGGAGCAGCUGGAGAGACAUUAACAAAUAUUAUGGAAAACAAGUGCAUUCCAGCUCUGAGAGGGGGAUUACACACUUGGCUUGGCCUACAUCCUACAGCCUCUGCUGGGACUGGUGCUGCCACCCACCACAGGACAGGACCUCAGCUGCUUGCUCCGGGGCUACCAGCAUGGUGUGUUUAUAAAUGAUCCUGGACCAGGCGCCGCACAGUGCAGGCCCUCGACACAACCCUGGUGGACAGCCCAUCUUUAUUCUGUGCCGGUGGGAUAGCAGGGCUUCAGCAGCCUUUCCAAACACCGUUUUCAUGGUUUAAAGCUUUCAUCUCAUUUGCUGGCUGAGGAAGUGUCAUGCUGCUGUGGAGUGGUGUGUUGUUUUGUUGUAAGGGGCAGCCUAAACUUACCACUCUCAUCAGGGGGUCAAAGCACCCUGCUUGCUAUAGGAAACCAGGCUGGCCUUAAUAAGACAAAUUCCAGACAUUGAUUUGACAGAAAUGGUAUUUGGAAUUAGAUGUUGCAGAACAAGCAAAUCACAGCUGGGGUAAAAACGAUUCUCCCAUCAGGGGGCAGGCAUCCCUUUAGGGACUCCUAUAUCCCCUGCCUAGCUGAGAGGAUCAAAGCCAUGUCUUGAGGGAAAGGGAGACAAAUCUGUCAAAUUUCAGGAUGAAACCUAAAUCCUUCUAUUCAGAGAGUAAAGAGGAAACGUGCAUUAACUUAUUAUGUUAAUAGGCUAAAGGCUAAUUACAAUAAUUCUUCCAAGUGGUAUUAGAUAAGUUGUG